AUGGUUGGUCUGGAGGGUUCUGCAUUAUUAGAUGAAGAAAGGAUGGACCGCCACGGGUUGAGUGAUACUGGAGGGCUUUCUUGUGUGGGUGGCGUAUCGUUGCUCGCACCGGGAACUGCCUUCUCUACUGAUUUUAGUAUUCUUCAGGAGCUCCGCACAGAGAAGUUAUUUCGAGAAUAUUUGGAGUACAGUGAGGAUUCAUUCAAGUGGGCGGCAGAAGAACUGGUUGCAGCAUGCAAUUCACCUGUAUGCACGGAUCAUUGGGUUGAUUUGUUUCUCCAGACUGUGCCUGAUGAGAGGCUUUUUCAAGAGCACCUUUUCAAUUUUGUGUCGUUACGUGAACAGUAUUCUGUGGUUGUUGAUGAUGCUGAUGGAAGUAAAGAAAGUUUGGCUGAUGAUGGAUCACCACGUUUCUCGACUGAGGCUGAGAUCAAACUCAUCCGCCGUAAGAAUCACAAAGAUUCUCUUAUGAAAAGAUUGCAUGGUGUUUGA
rnacentral:rRNA from 1 species